CGUAGCGCACUUCAACCAAAGCAUCUCGCUUACACCGAGAAGAUGUCUGUAAAAACCAGACCACUCCGA
rnacentral:tRNA from 1 species